rfam:Apaloderma vittatum contig33739, whole genome shotgun sequence.
GGACUACUAGCUCAGUCAGUUGAGCGUAGCGCUAACAACGCUAAGGUGGCGGGUUCGAUUCCCGUUCGGUCCC